CCUACGGGCGGCUGCAGUGAGGAAUAUUGGUCAAUGGCCGCAAGGCUGAACCAGCCAAGUCGCGUGAGGGAAUAAGGCCCUAUGGGUCGUAAACCUCUUUUGUCAGGGAGUAAAGGCGUCCACGAGUGGACGAAAGGAGAGUAUCUGUAGAAAAAGCAUCGGCUAACGCCGUGCAAGCAUCCGCGGUAAUACGGAGGAUGUGAGCGUUACCCGGUUUUAUUGGGUUUAAAGGGUGCGUAGGCGGUGUGUCAAGUCAGCGGUAAAAUUUCGGGGCUAAACCCCGUCGUGCAGUUGAUACUGGCAGCCGUGAGUAGAUGUGAGGUAAGCGGAAUGCGUGGUGUAGCGGUGAAAUGCAUAGAUAUCACGCAGAACGCCGAUUGCGAAGGCAGCUUACCGACACGCAACUGACACUGAGGCACGAAAGUGCGGGUAUCGAACAGGAUUAGAUACCCGAGUAGUC
rnacentral:rRNA from 1 species